rnacentral:tRNA from 1 species
UGUAAAAUAAGCUAAGUUAAGCUAUUGGGUUCAUACCCAACUAUGAGAUUUAUUCUCUUUUACAA